GGAUGUGCGAGGCAGAAGAGGGUAGAAAGAGAACAAGCCAUUUUGCUCAUCAUCAACAAACCUUGACCAAGGAAGUGUCUGCGUGUGCAAUGUGCCAUCUGAACCCUGGAGGCAUAAGCAGUAUGGUCACUUGUCCCAGCAUUGUUGGGAAGUGAAAAUGUAUCCAUGGAAAGAGAGCAGAAAGAUAAGACUACGCCCCGGGGAUAAUGAAAAAGAGAGGACUUGACCGCUGAGGGAUGGAGUUCCAAGGAAGUCAGUCCUUGAUGGGGCCAAGCAGCAGGGGAAGACGGGCGCUAUCAGGCUGGGGACAGAGCCCAAGCCAAGACCCAGGUGUAUGAAUGGACAGGACCUGAGAUGACCCGGUGGGUCAAACUGUCUGACUGUAGAAGAGGAGCUGGGCAGAGAGCAGAGGUCCAGGGACAGGCCAAGGUUUGGAAUGCCAAGGUUUGGAAUUUAGGCUUGGCCCUGUGGGUAAUGGAGAGCUAUCAGUGGGUUUCAAGCAAAAGGGAGAUACCAAGUGCUGUGGCCAGCCAUGUUUCAGGAAGAUUGUUCUUGUCCACCUUUGUUUAUGUCAACCACAUUUAGAAGUAACAAAUGUCUGAUAGGGGGUCAGGUGCGGUGGCUUGUGCCUAUAGUGCCAGCUACUCAGGAGGCUGAGGCAGGAGGAUCGCUCAAGCCCAGGGAUUCAAGGAUGCUGUGAGCUACGAUCACGUCACUGCACUCCAGCCUGGGAAACAGGGUGAGACCCAGUUUCUAAAACAAACGAACAAACAAAUGUCUGAUGGGGAUGCAUCCUCCCAAUAGAAUACUAUUCAACCAUGGAUAAUGUGGGAAUAGAAUAUCUCUGUUGAUGUGAAAAGUUGUCCAAGACAGUUGAGUCAAAAAUAUCAGUAAGCAUAGUAAGAUCUUAUUUUUGUUUUAAAAAUCAUAUGCAUAAGUCCAGGCACGGUGGCUCACGCCUGUAAUCCCAGCAGUUUGGGAGGCCAAGGCAGGCAGAUCACUUGAGGUCAGGAGUUCGGGACCAGCCUGGCCAACAUGGUGAAACCCUGUCUCUACUAAAAAUACAAAAAUUAGCCGGGAGUGGUGGCGGGUGCCUGCAAUCCCAGACACUCAGGAGGCUGAGGCAGGAGAAUCGCUUGAACCUGGGAGGUGGAGGUUGCAGUGAGCCGAGAUCAUGCCACUGCACUUCAGCCUGGGCAACAGAGACUCCAUCUAAAAAAAAAAAAAAUUCAUAUGCAUAUACAUGUGUGUAUGUACAUGUGUGUGUGUGUGAAUACACAUACACACACACACACAGAUCCAACUGUGGAGCAGCUGUCAGAGUUGGCCGACCCGCAGCCUCCCCUAGAGUCUUCUGCAGAGGGUUCCUGCCCUCACCUACAGCCCCUCCACCUGAGGACACCUGGCCACAGGUAAGACAGGCCAGAAGGUGGCACAGGAGCAGCCCACAAGCAAUAAUGGAUGGGAGUUGAUAGCUAAACUCGCAGCCUCCUGGUCUCAGUGCGACAACUCUGAGGUGUCUCCCACAGAGCCUCUCAGUGAUGCCUGUGGGCUUGUGCCCAGGUGGCCCACAGUGACCUGCUCAGAAACACACACUUUACUGCCUUUUCUCCUCUCCCUGUCCCUUCUCCACUCUCUCGUAGUGCUCAUUUGGAUCUCCUUCCAAAGAAACGACUGCUCCCCAAGCCUGUGUCAGGGUCUGCUUUUGGGGGAUCCCAACGAAGACAUCAGCCUCCUACUCGCUCCACAUCUGCCUCCAGGCUACUGAAAACUCCUGGAAAAGGGACUUAAGUAGCUCUAUGAUACAUCUGCAUUCAGAGAUGUGAAAUACUGAAAUAGACAUUGAAGAAAAUGAGUUUGGGUGUACAAUGGUCAAUAGAUUCAACUGAAGCAAGGCUGGAGGCAGGGGGCCCAGCAAAGAGGCUGCCACACUUGUCCCUCUAAGGAAGCCUGCAGUGGGCUAGAGGUGGCCGUAGAAAACAGUCAGGAGGAGGUGAUCAUUCCAAUCCCUCAGAGGUAAAAGGGCAUGUUAACCGCUUGUGUUUUGAAAAACAAGGCUGAGAUCAAAACUAUCUGACUUAUGGUAUUCCAUUCGAUGUAUUUGUCAAAAGAAACGGAAGCAUUUGCCAUGAAGAAAGGAAAGCCACACACUUAUCUGCCUGAGCUAUUUUGCUCAUAGAAGAUCUCACAUCAGCGCAGCAGAAUAGGAGAUGACUUACUUUCCUGCUAUUUGACUUGCCUGCUAUUAUUUUCUUUGAGACACUGAACACUCCACCUAUUUCUUUUUUAUUUUCUUCUCAAUAGGAACUCUUGUUGGCCUCUUUGGAUUAUUUUGUUUUUCAGAUUUUUUUUUUUUUUUUUUUUUUAGUGAUCCAAGACAAUAUGUGCUAAAAGUCCUCCCCAUUGCCUUGGUAAAUCUAUUUCUGGGAAUAAGCUAAACAUAGGAGAAGAUUUAUACUAAAAAAUGUUCAUCAUAGUGUUAUUUUUAAAGGGUUAAAAAUUAAACAUUUGGCAGGACAUGGUGGCUCACGCCUGUAAUCGCAGCACUCUGGGAGGCCGUGGCAGGUGGGUCAUUUGAGGUCAGGAG
rnacentral:lncRNA from 1 species